ensembl:snRNA U6 U6 spliceosomal RNA
GUGCUUGCUUUGGCAGCACAUAUACUAAAAUUGGAACGAUACAGAGAUUAGCAUGGCCCCAGCGCAAGGAUGACACACAGAUUCGUGAUGCAUUCCAUAUUCUU